rnacentral:rRNA from 1 species
GGUGAACGCUGGCGGCGUGGAUUAGGCAUGCAAGUCGAAUGGGUUUAGACCCAUGGCAGACGAGGUAGUAACACGUAGGUUACGUACCCUAAAGUCAAGGAUAACCCGGAGAAAUCCGGAAUAAUACUUGAUAGUCCCUUCGGGGUAAAGUUUUAACGCUUUAGGAACGGCCUGCGGAGUAUCAGCUUGUUGGUAGUGUAAAGGACUACCAAGGCUAUGACGCUUAGGGGAGGUGAGAGCCUGACCCCCACCGAUGGAACUGAGACACGGUCCAU